GUAAAAUCUGAUUGAACAACAGCGGCUGCCUUCAUCAAGGGAGCCUGGAGAGCAAACAGCAGAAAAACAGUCAUCUGGCAACAUGUUGCAGGAAAAAGACAUUACAAAAGAAUAACAAGCUUGAGGCUUUCUAUGUGCUCCUGCAUCCCUCUAGCUACCUUCUGUGAAACUGAACCUGGCCUGGUCUUAAGAGCAAAGACCUGAACCCUGGAGCCACUUGAGGAGCCAGAACGAGGGAUCCCCAUAUCCUUCUUAGACCUUGUUUAUUCUUUCCAUGACACCUACUCAUUCACAUGUUGUGGAAUUUCCUCAUUGUCUCUGUCUCAUUUAAAAGUCAUAUAUAACAUGAAUCAAAAUAAGAAAACAGGGACAGUCAAUAACAAACUGUGGAGAACAACGGACAUGUGAGAGCACUCUGGUUCUCCAGGCUAUCCGACUGGCGAUGCUGCUUAAGUCCUAUCUUGUACCCACUGCAGUGAGUAAAUUGGAUUGCUGAGCGAGAAAAAAAAUGACAUAUUUCCCUUGUAGUGGAAGAACCUAAAAGGCUUUUUUCCGAUUUUCAGAUUCAGGUCACACAGCCCAAAACUCUUCUUAUCUGCUUUCAUUAUAUAUAUAUUUAACAUCUUAUGAUGAGGUUUGAUCUUCUUUAAGGCUUUGAUUAAAUAGUCUUUGCACUUCC